GGGGGUAUGGCUCCGUGGUAGAGCACUUGCCUGGCAGGCAUGAAGUCCUGGGUUCCAUCCCCAGCCCA
rnacentral:tRNA from 1 species